GGGAGGAUCUCUAACCCCUCUCUCCACCUGACAGGCUUUCCAGAGUUUGUAAGCACUAGGUGUAAAUUCUGGAGUUCACAUGGCCAGCUGGAGCUCCGCAGAGUAGAUAUAUCCUGAUCAUAUUGUUGAAUAUGUCACAGUGCAAAACAAUGGUGACCAAAAUUUCAGAAUAAAGGACUGCAUAACUAGGGUGUGUUGCAAAACUCUGAAACAAACAAACCCCAAACCCAUCCUUACUGCUUUUGACUUUCCUUUGUAAGUAAAUCCAGAAAAUUACUAAGGGAGAGAAAAGAACAAGAAACACCUUUCAGUAGAAACUACUUUGGAAGAAGACAAUAACAGAAAGUUUGAAACUUAUAAAAAUCUUAUGAAAGCAGCAAAUAAGACAGCAGAUACAAGCAAAGAAACACAGCAAAAAAACCACGGGACAUCCCAGAGCACAUCAGAGAGCCUCCAGGACCGGGGAAAGCUAGAGAAUGAGAAGUGAUUAAUGCAGAGUGCACUGAAGGGAUCUAAAACUGUGUCUGCUCAGAUAGUUUAACCUGCUCUUGAAAUCUAAAAUAUUCCUUGACAUACCUUCAGUUUGCUCAUCUCGUGUAAUUAAGGCCUGGGUUCUGGAGCCUGAGCUUUUGCUUCCUGGGGACCGUGGGUAAAUGCCUGAGACCAGAGGCUUAGCGCUCCCCACAGAGCUUUUUGUAAACAACAGUGAUUUAAGCUCUGAGCAGAAGCAUCUACUAAUCACAAUGCAUCAGCAUGAAACUCUAUUCCAGAAAUCAAACUCACAUUAAAAAAAUUCAAAAUAAAACACAACCCCACCCCUCACCAAAUGCCAGACACUCAUUUCCUUAGCAACUCUGAUCCACCUGUAACUACUUUUUAAGGCUAAAUGCACUUCUAUAUAAUAACAAUUUCUUAAUCCUCUAUGUUGAUGGUGUUUUCUCCUUAUCUACCUCUUCAGACUUAAAAACAUGAAGUCUUUUUGUUUCCUCUUAAAAAAAUGGUGUUACUCUGGUUACUCUCAAUAAAAUGCAAACCAUUUCCCUGAACCUGGCACAUAAAUUUUCAAAGAUUAGAGGAACUGGGAGCUACUCUCACUGUCCUCUCAGUCUUGGGGACAUUCUUCUCUCUGACAGGACCCAGCAAAUGACAGUCAAAAAUGCCAUAUAAAAACAAAGCAUGCUGCAAGGCUCAAGAACAAUAGUGCAUUUUUAUAGGUAUAGUAUAGUUAUAAAAUAAUCAUCAGACUCCUUGCUUGAAGGGGUUAGAAAGCUGAUGGUGUGUAAUUAUAAAGGAGAUAUUCUACUCAGCAGCAUUUAAUUGCCUGGUCUUAAUGCUGCCUGGUGCACAUGGUACAACACUUCUGAUCCAGGGAGCUGUCUGCUCUGCAGAAGCCUAAAAGUAAAGCAAAACUGCAAUGGCAAGGUGCAAAUAUAGCAAGUUUAUAAAUAGAAAUCAAGUUUGGGAGGUAUAUGGCAUAUAGAAAGGCAAGCCACUGAAAGGUGAGG